CCUACGGGUGGCAGCAGUGAGGAAUAUUGGUCAAUGGGCGGAAGCCUGAACCAGCCAAGCCGCGUGAAGGAAGAAGGCGCUCAGGAUUGUAAACUUCUUUUGUCGGGGCACAAAACCUGGCGCGAGCUCCGGACUGCGCGUCUCCGAAGAAAAAGCAUCGGCUAACUCCGUGCCAGCAGCCGCGGUAAUACGGGGGAUGCGAGCGUUAUCCGGAUGUAUUGGGUUAAAAGGGUGCGCAGGCGGAAGGACAAGUCAGCGGUAAAAUCGCGGGGCUCAACCCCGGCCUGCCGUUGAAACUGGAUGUCUUGAGUGCUCGAGAGGUAUGCGGAAUGCGGGGUGUAGCGGUGAAAUGCAUAGAUAUAACGCAGAACACCGAUUGCGAAGGCAGCUUACCGGGCCGCAACUGACGCUGAGGCACGAAAGCGUGGGGAGCAAACAGGAUUAGAUACCCCAGUAGUC
rnacentral:rRNA from 1 species